rnacentral:rRNA from 1 species
GUCCACGCUGUAAACGAUGGAUGCUAGGUGUGGGGGGUGUCGACUCCCUCCGUGCCGAAGCUAACGCAUUAAGCAUCCCGCCUGGGGAGUACGGCCGCAAGGCUAAAACUCAAAGGAAUUGACGGGGGCCCGCACAAGCAGCGGAGCAUGUUGUUUAAUUCGAAGCGACCCGAAGAACCUUACCAAGGCUUGACAUGUGCCUGAAAUCCUGGGAAACCAGGCCCCUCUUCGGAGCAGGUACACAGGUGGUGCAUGGCUGUCGU